GCUAAACGCGAAGAACCUUACCUGGCCUUGACAUGUCCGGAAUUCUGCAGAGAUGCGGAAGUGCCUUCGGGAAUCGGAACACAGGUGCUGCAUGGCUGUCGUCAGCUCGUGUCGUGAGAUGUUGGGUUAAGUCCCGUAACGAGCGCAACCCUUGUCCUUAGUUACCAGCACGUUAUGGUGGGCACUCUAAGGAGACUGCCGGUGACAAACCGGAGGAAGGUGGGAUGGACGUCAAGUCAUCAUGGUCCUUACGGCCUGGGCUACGACACGUGCUACAAUGGUCGGUACGAGUGGUUGCCAAGCCGCGAGGUGGAGCUAAUCUCACAAAACCGAUACGUAGUCCGGAUCGCAGUCUGCAACUCGACUGCGUGAAGUCGGAAUCG
rnacentral:rRNA from 1 species